rnacentral:misc_RNA from 1 species
AAACAUGUAACAAGUAGGGGAAAAAAGAAAAAAAACUAGGAAUUUCCAUGGAUAGUGAAUGGCUCUAGUAUUUCAGGUGUAGCAUUAAAGGUACAGAAGAUUGUCAUAUGAUAAAGGUCACAUAAAGAAAAUGGGUGCCAUCACCUCAACAACUAAAUAUAUAUGAGAUCCAUUUGUAGGAUAUUUUCUCAAAAUACAUCUACCAUUUUUGUGAUGAAGGCAGCCAUGUUCCAUAAUUAACGCAAUCUCAGCAAUGGCAUAAUUAUAACAUGCAAGAAAAUUAUUGAAGCACUCAAUUUCCAUGGGAUGUUUGGGCUUGGCGCUAAUAAAAAUAUAUAUAUGACAGGCUAAAGCACUUCUGAUGCUACACGAUUUCCUACAGGCAUUAAAAGUAUCUUAAUCCCAGAAGUUAUGCUUGUACAAGAAU